rnacentral:rRNA from 1 species
UGCCCAGCAGCCGCGGUAAUACGGAGGGUGCGAGCGUUAAUCGGAAUUACUGGGCGUAAAGCGCAUGCAGGCGGCCUGUUAAGUCAGAUGUGAAAGCCCGGGGCGUUAACCUCGGAAUUGCAUUUGAAACUGGCAGGCUAGAGUCUUGUAGAGGGGGGUAGGAAUUUCAGGUGUAGCGGUGAAAUGCGUAGAGAUCUGAAGGAAUACCAGUGGCGAAGGCGGCCCCCCUCGGACAAAGACUGACGCUCAGAUGCGAAAGCGUGGGGAGCAAACAGGAUUAGAUACCCCUGGUAG